rnacentral:rRNA from 1 species
CACGUAGGGCGCAAGCGUUGUCCGGAAUUAUUGGGCGUAAAGAGCUCGUAGGCGGUCCGUCACGUCCGCUGUGAAAACCCAGGGCUCAACCCUGGGCUUGCAGUGGGUACGGGCAGACUAGAGUGCGGUAGGGGAGACUGGAAUUCCUGGUGUAGCGGUGAAAUGCGCAGAUAUCAGGAGGAACACCGGUGGCGAAGGCGGGUCUCUGGGCCGUAACUGACGCUGAGGAGCGAAAGCAUGGGGAGCGAACAGG